AUGGCUCAGGGAUGAACGCUAGCUACAGGCUUAACACAUGCAAGUCGAGGGGCAGCGCAGUGUAGCAAUACAUGGGCGGCGACCGGCGCACGGGUGCGUAACGCGUAUCCAACCUUCCCCGUUACUCAGGGAUAGCCUUCCGAAAGGGAGAUUAAUACCUGAUGGUGUUUGAAUUCCGCAUGUUAUUCAAACUAAAGAUUUAUCGGUAACGGAUGGGGGAUGCGUGACAUUAGCUAGAUGGCGGGGUAACGGCCCACCAUGGCGACGAUGUCUAGGGGUUCUGAGAGGAAGGUCCCCCACACUGGAACUGAGACACGGUCCAGACUCCUACGGGAGGCAGCAGUGAGGAAUAUUGGUCAAUGGUCUGACGACUGAACCAGCCAUGCCGCGUGAAGGUGACGGCCCUAUGGGUCUUAAACUUCUUUUGUAAGGGAGCAAUAAGUCUCACGUGUGGGAUGAUGAGAGUACCUUACGAAUAAGCAUCGGCUAACUCCGUG
rnacentral:rRNA from 1 species